UACGAAGGGGGCUAGCGUUGUUCGGAAUUACUGGGCGUAAAGCGCAUGUAGGCGGCUUUCUAAGUCGGGGGUGAAAUCCCAGAGCUCAACUCUGGAACUGCCUUCGAUACUGGAAAGCUCGAGUGUGGAAGAGGUUGGUGGAACUGCAAGUGUAGAGGUGAAAUUCGUAGAUAUUUGCAAGAACACCAGUGGCGAAGGCGGCCAAUUGGUCCAUUACUGACGCUGAGAUGCGAAAGCGUGGGGAGCAAACAGG
rnacentral:rRNA from 1 species